UGCAGUCGANCGGCAGCACGGAGCUUGCUCUGGUGGCGAGUGGCGAACGGGUGAGUAAUGCGUCGGAACGUAUCCAAUAAUGGGGGAUAACGCAGCGAAAGCUGUGCUAAUACCGCAUACGCCCUCCGGGGGAAAGCAGGGGAUCUUCGGACCUUGCGUUAAUGGAGCGGCCGACGUCUGAUUAGCUAGUUGGUAGGGUAAAGGCCUACCAAGGCGACGAUCAGUAGCUGGUCUGAGAGGAUGAUCAGCCACACUGGGACUGAGACACGGCCCAGACUCCUACGGGAGGCAGCAGUGGGGAAUUUUGGACAAUGGGCGCAAGCCUGAUCCAGCCAUUCCGCGUGAGUGAAGAAGGCCUUCGGGUUGUAAAGCUCUUUCAGGAGGGAAGAAACGAUUGUGGCUAAUACCCAUGAUUAAUGACGGUACCUCCAGAAGAAGCACCGGCUAACUACGUGCCAGCAGCCGCGGUAAUACGUAGGGUGCGAGCGUUAAUCGGAAUUACUGGGCGUAAAGCGUGCGCAGGCGGUUUUUCAAGUCUGAUGUGAAAUCCCCGGGCUUAACCUGGGAACUGCGUUGGAAACUGAAAGACUAGAGUGCGGCAGAGGGGGGUAGAAUUCCACGUGUAGCAGUGAAAUGCGUAGAUAUGUGGAGGAAUACCGAUGGCGAAGGCAGCCCCCUGGGUCGACACUGACGCUCAUGCACGAAAGCGUGGGUAGCAAACAGGAUUAGAUACCCUGGUAGUCCACGCCCUAAACGAUGUCAACUAGUUGUUGGGGGAGGGAGACCUCCUUAGUAACGCAGCUAACGCGUGAAGUUGACCGCCUGGGGAGUACGGUCGCAAGAUUAAAACUCAAAGGAAUUGACGGGGGCCCGCACAAGCGGNGGNUUAUGNNGNNUNAUUUCGAUGCANCGCGAAAAA
rnacentral:rRNA from 1 species